GGAUGCUCUUAGAUUGUUGAGUUAAUCGCAGAGCUGCGUUAAUACAUCAAACACCACCAAAGUGUAGUAUAAUUUCUUCAGUGUUAAGAAGACCUAGCGUUUAUAACAAUGAGCAAAUUAUUUAUCUUCGUCAUUUUUUUCCUGUUGAUGGCGACCGUUUUGGCAAACUGUCCACGCGAAAGUUUUUGUGAUACCGAUACUGAUUGCUGCGAAGAUGAAACUUGUGACACAUUUGGUAAAUGUAGUAUUCGAUUCACGUAGAAUUGGAAUAAAUCUACUAUGGGGAAUACCGCAUUCGAUUUUGGAUUGAUUUGCUUGAUUUUGAUGCAUUUCGAGUUUUUAUUUAUAAUGAAUGAAUAAUAAAUUUGAACAGAGUCUUGUACAAUCAACAGAAAGAA